rnacentral:rRNA from 1 species
GACGAACGCUGGCGGCGUGCUUAACACAUGCAAGUCGAACGGAAAGGCCCUGCUUUUGUGGGGUGCCCGAGUGGCGAACGGGUGAGUAAUACGCGAGUAAUCUGCCCUUGACUUUGGGAUAACUUCAGGAAACUGGGGCUAAUACCGGAUAGGAGCUCUUGUUGCAUGGUGGGGGUUGGAAAGUUUCGGCGGUUGGGGAUGGACUCGCGGCUUAUCAGCUUGUCGGUGGGGUAGUGGCUUAACAAGGCUUUGACAGGUAGCCGGCCUGAGAGGGUGACCGGCCACAUUGGGACGGAGAUACGGCCCAGACUCCUACGGGAGGCAGCAGUGGGGAAGAUUGCACAAUGGGCGGAGGCCUGAUGCAGCACCGCCACGUGCGGGAUGACGGCCUUCGGGUUGUAAACCGCUUUCGCCUGUGACGAAGCGUGAGUGACGGUAAUGGGUAAAGAAGCACCGGCUAACUACGUG